UACGGAGGAUGCAAGCGUUAUCCGGAUUUAUUGGGUUUAAAGGGUGCGCAGGUUGUUUGAUAAGUCAGUGGUGAAAGUCUGUCGCUUAACGGUAGGAUUGCCAUUGAUACUGUUAGACUUGAAUAUGGAUGAGGUAGGCGGAAUGUGUAGUGUAGCGGUGAAAUGCAUAGAUAUUACACAGAACACCGAUUGCGAAGGCAGCUUACUAAUCCAUCAUUGACGCUGAGGCACGAAAGCGUGGGGAGUCAAACAGGA
rnacentral:rRNA from 1 species